rnacentral:rRNA from 1 species
AUUGAACGCUGGCGGCAGGCCUAACACAUGCAAGUCGAGCGAGCGGCGGACGGGUGAGUGAUGCCUAGGAAUCUGACUGGUAGUGGGGGAUAACGUCCGGAACCGGGCGCUAAUACCGCAUACUCUCAGCUGAGCCCGGAUGGGAAUAGCUUGUGGGUGGGGUAACGGCUCAGCAAGGCGACGAUCCCUAGCUGGUCUGAGAGGAUGACCAGCCACACUGGAACUGAGACACGGUCCAGACUCCUACGGGAGGCAGCAGUGGGGAAUAUUGCACAAUGGGCGCAAGCCUGAUGCAGCCAUGCCGCGUGUAUGAAGAAGGCCUUCGGGUUGUAAAGUUCUUUCAGCGGGGAGGCGUUACCCGCAGAAGAAGCAUCGGCUAACUCCGUGCCAGCAGCCGCGGUAAUUC